CACACACACACACACACACACACACACACAUGAAUAUUACCUGAAUUCAUAUAGUUUUACAAAAGAGAACUUUAUAUACAACUGGAUUUAUUGUACUCUAGUUUGAAGCACAUGACCUAUUUUUUAUUGUUGUAGAUCAUUGUUGGUGAUGGCAAGAAUUGUGAUGAUUUUGUAUAUGUUGAUAAUGUGGUGCAUGCUCAUAUAUGUGCCGAGAAAACCCUUUCUACGAAAGACGGUGCAAAGAGAAGUGGAGGCAAAACCUACUUUAUAACUAAUAUGGAGCCAGUGAAUAUGUGGGACUUUAUUUACAUGGUUUUGGAAGAACUUGGAUACAAAAGCCGUUUCAGACUAAGAAUACCUUUAUGCCUUCUGGAGCCAAUAACAUUUGUGGUAAACUGGAGCUAUAAUAAUAUAUUCUCGCACUAUGGAAUGCGUUAACCUGGCAUGCUAACAUCCACAAGAAUUAAGUAUGCGACCCUCAAUAGAACAUUCAAGUGCAACAAUGCUGUUGAACAACUUGGUUACAAAGCAAUAGUCUCACUCAAGGUUGUUACUUUAAUUUUUCUUUGUUCAAUUUCUAUACUUAG